rnacentral:lncRNA from 1 species
UAUAAUUUAAAGAUUAAUUAUUUUGACUUAUAAAAUAAAAGCUUUAAAAUGUAUUUUAUGCUGUUUCUAUUUUUAAUAGUAAUAUGCAUAGUAAAUGUUUUUGUUAUUCAGAAAGCAUCAAAUUUUUACACAAAAUUUGCUUUUGAUAUAGUAUACAAAUGUGAUAAUAAAGAUAUGUUAAAUAAGUUAUAUAUGCAAUUUAUUCUACUUUCUACAAAUACAUUUUGAAAACAUCUAACACAACCAAAAUUUCAAAGAUUUACUAGAGAUUAUCAAUUAUUAAAUAAUGAGAGCGAGAAAAAUAAUAGUACUGAACGUUGAUUUCAAAAUUAAUCGGAAAUGAUUUUAGUAUAGUGGUUGGGAGAUUGUGGAUUCAAACCUCGAUGUCAUCAUUGUCUUUUUUAAGCGACCAAUUUGACACCUCCUAGCCAUGAAAAAUGAUGACUUGAAAAGAACAAUGGAAAAAAAGAAAAAGAAAAAGAAAGGUAAAAAAUAGAUCCAUGCACGCUUGGUCAUGGAGCUUCGUCGGCUGCCAAUAACAUUGUGAAAUUGUCCAACUCCAUCAAGAAAAGAAAAAAACUGCAACUUUCUCGUCCAUCUUUUGAAAAAUUGCAGUGUGCAAAUAAUGCACACAAUUGUGAAAAAAUCUUUAACAUAAAUGCAAGAUUCACUGCAAUGUAACUCCCACCUCUCCAUAGAGUUCAGUUGUUGCUGUGGAGCAGUUCUAGCACAUUAUGAUUGCAUUGGUUUCUCAUGACAUAACAUCAAGUUUGAGUGAAGCAAAUGAGUUUGUGGUCUCACUUGCUCUAAUUUUGCAGGCUGUGUUCUGUGACCCCAGCUCCACGUUAUUGUGCUACCACACAAUUCACAAGCCUUCAUCAGCCCCGCCUUAUUAACAAGUGCCUCACAUACUUCUCAUCUUCUCAUGCAGAGAUUCAUCUCCUCUCUCGACACAGUUAGUAGAAAUGCAACCCAGAGAUUCCAAAGCAAGACCUAAUCUAAGCACCCACAAUGUGUUGAUUUAUGUGCUCCAUGCCCGAGUUGUGCAUCUCGGACUAAUCUGGUUCACUUCCAGCACCCACAAAGCGAAGGGAGUGAAGCCACACAAUUAACGCAAACGAUCUUGCACAGAGCUUACAAGAUGGUCUCAGCACAUGUUUUAAUGCAAGCUUGUUAUAAGGCGUGCUUCAUUUGAUACAGACUGAUCAAAAAUAGUGACAACACGGGGAUUACCCUUAGAACAAAACUUAC